ACGAACGCUGGCGGCGUGUCUUAAGCAUGCAAGUCGAGCGGCAAGGAAGUGCUUGCACUUCCCUAGAGCGGCGGACUGGUGAGUAACGCGUGGGUGAUCUACCUCGGGGUUGGGGAUAGCCAUUAGAAAUAGUGGGUAAUACCGAAUACGCUUCCAGGGCUACGGCCUUGGAAGGAAAGGCGCUACGGCGCCGACCUGAGAUGAGCCCGCGUCCCAUUAGCUAGUUGGUGAGGUAACGGCCCACCAAGGCGAUGAUGGGUAGGCGGCCUGAGAGGGUGUACGCCCACAUUGGGACUGAGAUACGGCCCAAACUCCUACGGGAGGCAGCAGCUAAGAAUAUUCCGCAAUGGACGAAAGUCUGACGGAGCGACGCCGCGUGGAUGAUGAAGGCCGGAAGGUUGUAAAAUCCUUUUGUCGGGGAAGAAUAAGCGUGGGAGGGAAUGCCCGCGUGAUGACAUGAACCGGCGAAUAAGCCCCGGCUAACUACGUGCCAGCAGCCGCGGUAACACGUAGGGGGCGAGCGUUGUUCGGAAUUACUGGGCGUAAAGGGCAUGUAGGCGGUCUUGUAAGCCUGACGUGAAAGGCUAUGGCUUAACCAUGGCACUGCGUUGGGAACUGCGAGACUUGAAUCACGGAGGGGGAACUGGAAUUCCAGGUGUAGGGGUGAAAUCUGUAGAUAUCUGGAAGAACACCAGUGGCGAAGGCGAGUUCCUGGCCGAUGAUUGACGCUGAGGUGCGAAAGUGUGGGGAUCAAACAGGAUUAGAGACCCUGGUAGUCCACACUGUCAACGAUGUGCACUAGGUGCUGGGGCGGAUGUUUCAGUGCCGGAGCUAACGCGGUAAGUGCACCGCCUGGGGGAGUAUGCUCGCAAGGGUG
rnacentral:rRNA from 1 species